AACCAAGAGAUCCCACUUGGCUCAGCCACACAAUCUCACAAAGUGAGGUUCGAAAGGCACAAAAUCUCAACCAACAAAGUGCAAGACAACAGUGUUUACAGGAAAUAACUUUCCCAACCUUUCAUUCACUAAAAGGAACAAUACAAGAGACACCUCUCACAGAACUCUUCCCAAAGUGUUCUAGCAGUGCUCUCUCUUUAGCUCUCUCCCUAGCUAAUGGGGUCCCCUCUCCCGGGGUUCCUCCCCACAUUUACAUGUGUAUGAGUAUAUAUAGGAUACAACAACAGUUUACAAGAAGUUGUGGUUGACACCCCCAACCACUAAGGAGAAAAAUCCGCCCACUACUCAUUAUGGAAGUUAUAUAACUACCCACUACUCAUCAUAGAAGUUAUAUAACCGCCCACUAAUGAUCAUGGGAGUUAUAACUACCCACUUCCCAUUAUGGGAGUUAUAACUACCCACUAUCCCUCAUGGGAGAACAUG
rnacentral:lncRNA from 1 species